UCCAGUUUAUCACCGGCAGUCUCUCUAGAGUGCCCACCAUUACGUGAUGGCAACUAAAGACAAAGGUUGCGCUCGUUGCGGGACUUAACCCAACACUUCACAGCACGAGCUGACGACAGCCAUGCAGCACCUGUGUAAACGUCUCUUGCGAGAGGUCCCACUUUCAUAGGCUUGCGCAUACAUGUCAAGCCUGGGUAAGGUUCUUCGCGUAGCCUCGAAUUAAACCACAUGCUCCACCGCUUGUGCGGGUCCCCGUCAAUUUCUUUGAGUUUCAGUCUUGCGACCGUACUCCCCAGGUGGUAGAUUUAAUGAGUUAUCGUCGGCACCGGAGGGAUCGACACCUCCAACACCUAAUCUACAUCGUUUACGGCAAGGACUAC
rnacentral:misc_RNA from 1 species